CUUAUACUCUUUCCGUCUAAAAAUACUUGUCAUCAAAAUGCAUAAAAGGGGAUGUAUCUAGAUGUAUUUUAGUUCUAGAUACAAUUUUUUUUGUUCAUUUUGAUGACAAGCAUUUUCGGACGGAGGAAGUAUUUG
rfam:Triticum aestivum genome assembly, contig: Triticum_aestivum_CS42_TGACv1_scaffold_212054_3AS